UGCUGUGUUCCUAAAUCAUUUUAUUUAUUUUUCAAAUGAUAACUUGUAUCCCCCUGUAAUUUGCAGAUGGUAACAAUGGAUUGUUUAUUGCAGAAUUAACAUUUGGAAAAGGAUCCUGGAUGUCAGUGGCAUUAUCAGUCUAGCUAUGUAUUCUAUGUUCAAUAGUUUGUUAAUCUUAAUACCAGAUUGUGUUUGAGUGCGUGAAUUUUACUUCAUUUUUUUCUUUAAAAGGGAAAUGUUAAUGCUGAUUUAUAAGUCUGCAAUAUCAGCCUCCUCAAUGUUGUAUUUCUGAACUAACUUUGUUUUGCUGAACUAUACAAUCAAGAAGAAAAGUACAAAAAAGAUUAAAAGGUGGUAGCAGAAAUCUUUUGUGUUAAUAUGAGUAGUAAAGUACAGUACACAACAAUGUCCAGCUGCCAUAUAGACAAAUGUACUAAUUGUUGCCUGAGGCAGGUCUAAAGGGGAAUGUGACAUUGAGAAUAGGAAUAGGAGGAGACACAGGGAGUCAUUUGAAAGGUAACAGAUUAGGAAGUGAGAAGGGGUGUAGACAGAUGAGAACAGAGAAGUAAGUGGGGGUGGUAUUGUACAGAACCUCCAAGAUAAAGAAUUGAACAUAAUGUGGAAGUAUAGUGAAAACUAUGCAGAAGCAUAUAACAUCAGAACAAACAGUUAGCUGCCUCUCUAGCUGGAUAUGUAGGAGACAGGAAUGCAUGAGGUAGGUAGUUGCAAUAGUCAGUGAGAAAUGACCAGUUGACUUUAGAGAUAUGAGGUGAUGAAGCGCCUGGUUUACGUGAGAACCUGAUUGUGAAGGGAGCAGACCCAGAGGUGAGUUAGAAGGCAGACUGAAUGACUUCCUUGCUGUUCCAACAUCUACUAGCCAAAUAUCGAAAGCUGCUCUGGUAGAAUUAAUACCAAAGAUGGAUACCCCAUGGGAGUUCCUGUUGUGACCCAUCCUUGGUAUCAGUGCUAGCUAGUAGGUGUCAGGUAAAACUUUGGAGCCCUGAUAUUGAGUUAAUGAGCUAGCACAACUUUUGCAUCUGUACAUGUCCUGCUCAUCUAUAUCUGUUAAUAGAAUGUAUGCCUUGAUUGUACUGAUAAGGUACCUGAAAUAGCCUGAAAAAAGAUGAGAUCCAGAAAACGUUCGCAGUCAGUUACUAGUUGGAUUGUCAUCCUUGGCUUUGGUAGCAUGGUAGUUGAAAAGCAGGGAUUCAAUUAAUGUAAAAUGAUGUAAUCUCAUUUUGUUGUACCCUAAAAUACCAGUAUUUGACUUAUCUAACUUAUCUAAUGCAUAUUCAUGCACGUUUUAAAAUAGGCAAAAUUACAUUGCUGCUUUCUUGGCAACGUGCUCUAGAAGUAUGAAACCAUUUCCCUGGUUUUUAGGGAAGGAAGAAGUGGGAAACUAGUUGUGUACAUACCUUACCUCAACUGGGAGAGCAGAGGUAAGGAAGAAUAAUGUACGUUUGUGCAGGUGGUUAAAUCACAUUAUGAAAGAAUGGAAAGUCUGGCAGCAGUCCACUUCAAAGACACCGUUUUUCUCCACUGGCUUUCACACACUAAGGGAGACCUUGUUCAAGGCAUGGUACUGUCUUACUAGAAAGUAACUGGAAAUUAGUGUCUAGUCCUCAUGCAACUUAAAUGAUGCUCUAGCUAGUAUAUCAAGUAGUCUUUGAUUGUUAUAAAUGAUUUGGAUAUAAAUCUUAUUAAUAUAAACAAGUUAUACUGAUUCACUUUAAAGUCUACAGAAGAUACCUAUCCCAGGCUGUAGGUGCCCUGAGAGUAUUUAAUAAAAAAAAAAAAAAAUACAAUGCAUAAUAGAAAGUAAUAGAGAAAAAAUAACAUCACUACACAUGUAACCCAACCCUUCUCCAAUGAAGGUAACAAAACUAAUCAUGUCCCUAAUUCUGCAAGAACCUCUUUGCUCCAUAGACCUCAUCCUUCUCAGUACCUCAACCAAAAACACAGGUUUUACAACACCCCCAGAGGCUAUAUAUGAACUAUUGUAAGUUGAAGGGGGGAGUGGAUUUCAAAACUUGAGGAGCUUUCACAUAGAAUGUCCUAUCACAAGCUCCCAGUCUUUCAAAGGGAGCACCAGCUCAUACUUUUCUGCUGAUCAUAAUUGUGGAAGUAUUGUAUGGCCUACCUAUCCCUUUUUGCCUUCCCCAUUUAGGGCCUUAUAAGUCAAAAUCAACACCUUAAACUCUAUGUGGAAGCCAAUAGGCAGCUAAUGUAGUUUAGUUUAAAAAUAAUUCAGGUGCUUGGGCAAAGAUACAUUUGGGUGGCUGCAUUCUGGACUAGAUUCAUUUUCCAAAUAGUUUUAAGGAGUAGCCCAUGUGUGUAUAUAUAUAUUGGAGAAGUCAUAGGUGACAGGUGUGGAUUAUGAUGGCAUUUGAGAGAAAUGGUUGCAACCUUCUGUUCAGAUGCAGGUGAUAAAACACAGACCUGGUUGCAACUUCCAUUCCAUCUAUGAACAAGUGUAAAGCCAACAAAAUCCCCAAGUUGCAUUUAUAGGAAACGGAUGAUGGACAUGCAUAUUUUCAGUCUCAAAGGUGCAGACACAGCCAUUACUGUGUCUGUUGGGUAUUUACCCCAACAUUUCUCAGCCAACUUUUCCUCCUUGCCCCAGACUCACCCAAGCACUGAGAGAGGUGCUCUAAUUGCACUCCGGAUUGGAUGAGAUGGAAACAAAGAGCAGGCAUCAUCAGCAUAUUGAGCCCCUUAGUCCAAAUUUCCUCUGUAGGCUUCCUAAAAGACCUCAAACACUGAACAAGAGGUGUGGCAUAGAAGAAAGUUUCCGGGACCUGUACAUUAAAGCUCAUGAGGCAGAAGAGCUAUUACCCUCUGGGCUCUCUUUAAGAGGAAAGAGUGAAGCCAGUAGUAGGAAGCACCUUCCAGUCCCAUGAAGAUCUGCAAGUGAUUUGAUAACUUCAGGGUUAGUGGAAUUGCAGAUGAUGAUAAAUCUAAUAUCAGCAUGGACACCUAGUCUUCAUCCACUUCCCAGGGGAGAUCAUUGGUCCUUCUGUGUUGAUCAUACUCUGUGCCAUAACCAAAUCAAGAUUGACACACAUCCUCUCAGGGAAUUUGCCAUGCUAGGAUAGUUGGACUACCCAACUAGUCCAACUUAAACUUACCUCAGCUCUCAUACUAAAUAGUAUGUCUAUCAGAUCUAGCUCUAGAAUAGGCGAAUCCCUAGAUUUUUAGGUUGGAUGUAAAAAGCAGAGCUGCGCAACCUCCUCAACUGUCCACCUUCAGAUCAUGCUGCACUGACUAGCCAGCAGAAGCUAGCUGUGUCAGGAUUGGCCAGCGUUUGUCAUCUAGCUGAGUUUGUUAUACAUGAAAGGCACUGUGUUCUUGUU